rnacentral:rRNA from 1 species
UACAGAGGGGGCAAGCGUUGUUCGGAAUUACUGGGCGUAAAGGGCGCGUAGGCGGCCCGCUAAGUCGAACGUGAAAUCCCCGGGCUUAACCCGGGAACUGCGUCCGAUACUGGCAGGCUUGAAUCCGGGAGAGGGAUGUGGAAUUCCAGGUGUAGCGGUGAAAUGCGUAGAUAUCGAGAGGAACACCUGCGGCGAAGGCGGGUUGCUGGGCUGACACUGACGCUGAGGCGCGAAAGCUAGGGGGAGCGAACGGGG